AUGAACGCUGGCGGCGUGCCUCAUACCUGCAAGUCGCGCGAACAGACGAGGAGCUUGCUCCUCUGACGUUAGCGGCGGACGGGUGAGUAACACGUGGAUAACCUACCUAUAAGACUGGGAUAACUUCGGGAAACCGGAGCUAAUACCGGAUAAUAUAUUGAACCGCAUGGUUCAAUAGUGAAAGACGGUUUUGCUGUCACUUAUAGAUGGAUCCGCGCCGCAUUAGCUAGUUGGUAAGGUAACGGCUUACCAAGGCGACGAUGCGUAGCCGACCUGAGAGGGUGAUCGGCCACACUGGAACUGAGACACGGUCCAGACUCCUACGGGAGGCAGCAGUAGGGAAUCUUCCGCAAUGGGCGAAAGCCUGACGGAGCAACGCCGCGUGAGUGAUGAAGGUCUUCGGAUCGUAAAACUCUGUUAUUAGGGAAGAACAAAUGUGUAAGUAACUAUGCACGUCUUGACGGUACCUAAUCAGAAAGCCACGGCUAACUACGUG
rnacentral:rRNA from 1 species